rnacentral:piRNA from 1 species
CUGUAGAGGCUCCAUCAA